rnacentral:rRNA from 1 species
GACGAACGCUGGCGGCGUGCUUAACACAUGCAAGUCGAACGGAAAGGCCCUGCUUUUGUGGGUUGCUCGAGUGCCGAAGGGGUGAGUAACACGUGAGUAACCUGCCCUUGACUUUGGGAUAACUUCAGGAAACUGGGGCUAAUACCGGAUAGGAGCUCCUGCUGCAUGGUGGGGGUUGGAAAGUUUCGGCGGUUGGGGAUGGACUCGCGGCUUAUCAGCUUGUUGGUGGGGUAGUGGCUUACCAAGGCUUUGACGGGUAGCCGGCCUGAGAGGGUGACCGGCCACAUUGGGACUGAGAGACGGCCCAGACUCCUACGGGAGGCAGCAGUGGGGAAUAUUGCACAAUGGGCGGAAGCCUGAUGCAGCAACGCCGCGUGCGGGAUGACGGCCUUCGGGUUGUAAACCGCUUUCGCCUGUGACGAAGCGUGAGUGACGGUAAUGGGUAAAGAAGCACCGGCUAACUACGUG